AAGACUGGGAAAGUCAGGAUGGGCUUUUCUGCUUCAUUCCCUUAGGUCAGUCAGGGAACAGUGGUGUUGAUGCCCCAGCCCAGGGAGUCUGUGAUGUCCCCAGUUACCAGUCUUCCUUGGAUGACCCAAAAAGCAAAUUUCUCAAGGAGGAGAUAUACCUCAAGGUCUUGUUCUCGUUUGGCUUGAGUCAGGGAAAAACAUGAUCAGUCAGAUCAAAUUCCAAGAAUUUAAUUCUGUCUCCAUAAAACCAUCUAAGAUGUUUAAUAUUUUGGCAUCAGAAUGAAGUCUUCCACCUUGAUGUGGGUAGUGGUUCAUGGAUGUUGCCUUAAAAUAUCCUGGAAAUGAGAGUUCUUUUCAUGGCUCAGCAGAAAAUGAAUCUGACCAGUAUCCAUGAAGACACAGGUUCAAUCCCUGGCCUUGCUCAGUGAGUUAGGAAUCCACUGUGGCCAUGAGCUGUGGUGUAGGUUGCAGAUAUGGCUCGGAUCUGGCGUUGCUGUGGCUGUGGUGUAGGCCAGUGGCUGUAGCCCCGAUUCACCACCUAGCCUGGGAAUCUCCAUAUGCAGUGGUUACUGCCCUGAAAAGACAAAAUAAAUAAUAAAUAUCCUGGAAAUAGUACAUCGUGUGUGUGUGUGUAUACUAGAACAGUGCUUCUCAAACAUUCCCAUAUAUUUGAAUCAGGUUGUACCUCAGACCAACUAAAUGAGAAUCCCUUAGGCAUUGAUAUUUUUAAAGUUUCCCAGUUGGUUCCAAUACACUACCAGUUUGAGAACCAAAGUGCUAGAAGAAAGAGAUCUACUGGAAAACAAAACAAAACAAAAUGACAAUAACAGAUUUCAGCCCCAAUGAAGGCUUAUCUUUAAGAUCCUUUUUUUUUUUUUUAGCUCUGAGUUUCUAUGAUUAAAUAAAUAUUUGUUGCUUUACUAAAAGAAAAAUACAUCUGCCAGACUGUCUCUUGCACUUGACAGUUGAAGAAAUAUGAACAAACAAAAAAACCUUUGGUUCAGAAAACACAGUUUCUAGGCUGGAAACUUUGAGACUGGCCAAACACAAGUUCUGAGAAUUUCCCAAUUUUCCUAUGGUCUGGCCCUGUCUAGUCACAUGCAAACAUUCUUAGAUGUACAUCUGAUUUCUCCAGGGAAGGUACCCUGCCUCAGACCAGCAAAGACUAAAACAUAGAGGCCAGGUGGAAACCAGAUUCCCUGGCCGAGUAUUGAGUCCUGCCUGUUGCAUGUGCAUAGACGGAGGUCUGGGACUCGAUCUCAGCUGCUGGAGGCAUCAUUAAUUUCAAUUAGGUAGAAAGUCUUUGGAGUGGGUUGUUCCAGUGACAGUCAUUUCCGGAUGUCCUGCUUGCAUGUUUUUUUUUUCUUUUUUUCUCCCCCCAAGGAUACUGCUAAUGGAGUUUAAGGUCCUUUCAUCUCAACAGAGGCUUUAUUAAGUCUCCUCACGUCUCUAAGUACCUGUAGCUGCCCUGUUCCCUCUUAAUUCAUUUUCCAUGCCACAUUCAAGAGUAUUUGGAAUCUCCACAAGAACAAAUAAACCUCUGAACUCUGGUACACGUGUAAUCUGCCAAGGUCUACCCCACAACUCCAGACUGUCCCCAAGCACGGCUGAAACGACUUCAAAAAGCAUCAGUGUUUCUUGUAAUCCAUUUGCCAAAGACAAUGCACCAGAUGUGUCACGUUUCCUAUUUCAGCUGUGCCCGGCAUUGCUUUCCCUCCAGUAACUGGGCCAAGGGGUCAAGGGAGACUCUCAAGGUGACAGAUUUGUUAAAGAAAAAAAAUGCAGUCACUUUAGCCCCCAGGGCUCAGCACUAACCACUCCUUAUCGGCUUUCCUUUCUCAUCUUUAUUUUCACUCAGUGGAUGAGCGCAGACUUUGUGUACAGCAGAAAGCACAACUGAAAGUUCUGACAAAAUAGCUGUGUGACCUUGGGCCUCAGUGGCUGCUUCUGUGAAGUAGGUAACUCCUCAGCAGACUCUUAAGUUGCUCUGAUUCUAUUCUAAUAAGGAUGACAAAGUAAAAAUGAGGUUAUUUCUAUCACCGCAGGUACCCUUCUGAUUCAACCUCCUCUUGACAGCAAGCUUGUGGUCCUGAAGACAUGCAGACAGUUUUCCAAAUACUGGGCAGAGCCUAUCUCGGCUUUAUCAGGGAGACGGGGAGACCAAGGACUUGAGAGUUGCAUGCAGUGCCCCUUCCCCGCUUUCCAUGUAAUCUCAGGAACCAGAGACGCUAGGGACACGUCUCCCUCUCAUAAUUACUUGGGAAGGAGUGUCAUUGCCUCAAGCAUAAUUAACAGCAUUUUAAUUCAUUCUCUCUUUUUAGGUUCUUCACAUACUCGCUGUUGCAAGAAUGAGCACAGCAUUAUGGUCUGUUAACUUUUGAAAACGAGGCCAAAGAUGUCAGAUUCUGGCCAUCCCCAUAAAGAGUCUUGCUCUUGGCUUAAACAUGGGUUGGGGGAUCCGUUCUGUGGCUGUGAUGAGGAUGUGUAGGCUUGCUCCGGUCUUCUGCUCCCAAAUGAGAUACAAACAGCAUUUAGCUGUGCUUAUCCAGGGGAGCACCAACUGAUUAUGUGGCCAGCAAGAAAAGAUUCCAUAAAUAAACUGCCCACUGAAAAGUGACGCUGUCCCCCAGGAGACUGUGAUGGCCUGUUUGUGGGCUUGCCUGCUCUCCCCCAUCCUCCUUAUCCCUGGACCAGCACCUCUCCAUGGCAGCCAUACUCAACCUCUCCAGUCCAGUUUCAAUGAAGAGAAAAGGUUCCUGUGGAUUUGCUUGUGACAGACACUGCACACUGUUCCAGAAACUGGAAUGUGAUGAUCUUCUUUCUCAAAAUGGUUUCAACUCUCUUUCCCUCACUUAAAACCCACAAAGACACACACCCGUACACAUGCACCUGCACACGUCGACCUCACAGUAGCCACUAGUUCUGUCCAUCUUUUAAUUUCAUGCUCGAUGAUAAUGAGUUAUUUCAAACAGAGGCAGUAAAAUGUACAACUGACAUUGGUUGAAAUUUAGGGCAUCCUGCUUUCCUAUACAUUAUUCUUCACUUCUAAAAUAUUUAUAACCACUUAAAGAUGAUUUAUAGAUGUAUAUCUAGGAUUGUAUCCUGAUAAUAAGAGCUUUACAAAUAUAGUUUUAUUUCUCUGAGUGUAGAUAUAUUUGAUAGUAAUUAGAGACUAAAAUGUAGUAAAAAUAAUGUAUGUGUUAAUUAUGUAAUAUAAAUAUACAUGUAAUAUAUAUACAUAUACAUGUUGGCCAAAGCUCUACAAUGAGAGAUACCAUGUCAAAAAGCAGUAAACUGUCAGGAAUCUAUGAAUAUAAAUAGUUUUUAGCAAUAGCAUAUUAUCAAGGCAUUCUUAACUACAUUUGGCAUUUUUGGAGCAAGAAAAAUGCUGGGGUUUCAUUAAACUGCAGUGCAAAGGAAAUGGAGAAUUUGGAUCUUAUACUGGAAUGUCCUUGAAAUGAAUAGAUUUCAGAGAAAAGCUGAAAGGUUUGAUCAUGUAAAAUCGCUCCCCCCCAAAAAGAAAUCUCAAUUAAUUUUUAAGUGCCCAGAAAUUAACAGAAAAAUGUGGUUAAUAAUUAAGUAUAUUUUUAAAUGUCAUAUACAAUAUUAUUCAUGAUGAAAGUGAAGUUCAUAAAAGAUUCAUUUGUUUUCUUACUCAUGUAAAAUAGUGAGAUCAAAUAGAAAGUGAAAAACUAUUUUUGCGAUUUAUCUCAAUUGUGUACAUUGUUAUUUGAUCCUAGGAAAAUUACAGAUGAUAUUUAGUGAUUUACUGUUAGAAAAAUAUAUUUUUUUCAAUGAUGUCGGCUAAAGGUAUAUAGCAAAUUGAAAUUAUAAAUGAUUCUUAUUAUGAAACACCAAGGCAAUAUUUUUGCUGUAUUUUGGGUGCCAAGAUAUCACCCCAGGUACCUCAUUUAAGCCAGCCAAUCUGUGCUGUUCUCAGAAAAGAAGAAUGCAUUUCUGGGAAAUUCGCCAUUUGAAAUUCCAAUGGUUGCUUAUCCCCUUUUUAGGCUAAUGGUGCCAGUUGCUAAGAUAACAGGGCCUCUUGGCUGGCCAGAGGACGUAGCUCUUUCUCUGUGUUGCUGCAGGAUCAGGGAUCAACUUUGAGACACUCAUUGUCCUGGAAAAUUAGUGUAUUGUGAGCUUUCUCAAACUUGGCAUCCAAGAGGAUAAUCCGUAUUGCUUGUUUUUUGAUCCCAGGGUAGGUGCUGAUAACAGUUUUGAAGUCAGUGUGUGCUAUCUCCCAAGAUGCUCGUAUUGUAAAAACCUUGAGGUCUGGCUGGCUUGUAGGAAGACUUAGGGGAAGAAUUUCCUAAGACAAAGCCAAAGAAGUGGGGCUGGCUACAGCUUUUAGUCAUAUUUUUAUCCCCCACCCCCAAGCAUUCUUUCUCUUCCAACCCUAAUGAUAAGGUACAUUAAUUUAGGGGUAUGCUCUCUGUCUUUUUAUGCAUGCUUGGACUCUGUACUGGACCCCUGACGGUGAUGCUGAAAAUGCACUGUUAGAAAAGGAUCCCUUCAUUUUCAUGCCUGCACAGGAUGCCAGAUUUGUCCGGAAACAAAAUGGCUCACUGUCUGAAGAUGAGACUCUAUUAUAAACAACAGUUAGGAUACCAGAGGUCAUAUGUUUCGGGGAGUUCCCAUUGUGGCAUAGCAGAAACAAAUCCGACUAGGAACCACAAGGUUGCAGGUUCGAUCCCUGGCCUCACUCAAUGGGCUAAGGAUCCGACAUUGACAUGAGCUGUGGUGUAGGUCACAGAUGUGGCUCAGAUCCUGCGUUGCUGUGGCUGUGGCGUAGGCUGGCAGCUGUAGCUCCAAUUCGACCCCUAGCCUGGGAGCCUCCAUAAGCCAUGGGUGCAGCC
rnacentral:lncRNA from 1 species